AACGAACGCUGGCGGCAUGCCUAACACAUGCAAGUCGAACGAGACCUUCGGGUCUAGUGGCGCACGGGUGCGUAACGCGUGGGAACCUGCCCUUAUGUUCGGACUAACUCCCCGAAAGGGGUGCUAAUACCGGAUAAUGUCUUCGGACCAAAGAUUUAUCGCCUUUGGAUGGGCCCGCGUUGGAUUAGCUAGUUGGUAGGGUAAAAGCCUACCAAGGCGACGAUCCAUAGCUGGUCUGAGAGGAUGAUCAGCCACACUGGGACUGAGACACGGCCCAGACUCCUACGGGAGGCAGCAGUGGGGAAUAUUGGACAAUGGGCGAAGGCCUGAUCCAGCAAUGCCGGGUGAGUGAUGAAGGCCUUAGGGUUGUAAAGCUCUUUUAACCGGGAUGAUAAUGACAGUACCGGGAGAAUAAGCUCCGGCUAACUCCGUG
rnacentral:rRNA from 1 species